rnacentral:pre_miRNA from 1 species
UAGUGCCUUGUUUGGUAGAGGUGUUUGGAGUGAGAGAUGGGAAAAGUGUAUUUCGAUUCCGUUCCGACCAUUUUUCUCUCUCUCAUUCCACACAUCGUCUAACGAACAUAGUGUUA